rnacentral:rRNA from 1 species
UACGGGGGGGGCAAGCGUUGUUCGGAAUUACUGGGCGUAAAGGGCUCGUAGGCGGCCAACUAAGUCGGACGUGAAAUCCCCAGGCUCAACCUGGGAACUGCGUCCGAUACUGGAUGGCUUGAAUCCGGGAGAGGGAUGCAGAAUUCCAGGUGUAGCGGUGAAAUGCGUAGAUAUCUGGAGGAAUACCGGUGGCGAAGGCGGGUCUCUGGGCCGAUACUGACGCUGAGGAGCGAAAGCGAGGGGAGCAAACGGG